rnacentral:rRNA from 2 species
CUUGCUCUGUGCGAUCAGUGGCGAACGGGUGAGUAACACGUGAGCAACCUACCCCUGACUCUGGGAUAAGCGCUGGAAACGGCGUCUAAUACUGGAUAUGUGACUCGACCGCAUGGUCUGUGUCUGGAAAGAAUUUCGGUUGGGGAUGGGCUCGCGGCCUAUCAGCUUGUUGGUGAGGUAAUGGCUCACCAAGGCGUCGACGGGUAGCCGGCCUGAGAGGGUGACCGGCCACACUGGGACUGAGACACGGCCCAGACUCCUACGGGAGGCAGCAGUGGGGAAUAUUGCACAAUGGGCGCAAGCCUGAUGCAGCAACGCCGCGGGAGGGAUGACGGCCUUCGGGUUGUAAACCUCUUUUAGAGGGAAGAAGCGAAAGUGACGGYACCUGCAGAAAAAGCGCCGGCUAACUACGUGCCAGCAGCCGCGGUAAUACGUAGGGYGCAAGCYUUA